rnacentral:lncRNA from 1 species
GUGCAGUAGUGUGCUUGUAGGUAAGUAUGUUAAUGUGGGACGGUCGGUCUCGUUAAACCCGUUUCAACAUGGCUAGAUAUUUAUUUCACCACCAUGGUAAAAUAUAUGUAAGCACAUAUGUAUGCAUAAUGCAUGUCACAUAAGUGUCGACAUGUCUCACAUCAAUGUGUUUAGUUCUGUUUAAUCACAUAAACAAUAAUACAGAAACAAAAUUUGUGUUUAGUUCGGU